UGCGUUAUUGUCUCUAUACUCUUUGUUUAUUCUGAUUUCCGUCUUUGAUGUUAGAAGUUAUCCUAAAAUAUCUGUUGAUCCUUAGCAGAAAAGCGUUUAAGGGUGGAGCCAUAAAGGCUAAUUGGAAACUUUACAUGCAGAGGUGAACUCUUUACAUGGAGAGCUAAUUAAUUGCUUUAUCAUGUAAAAGAGGUUGUGAUAAAAAAUAAAGAAAAAAAUCUCUUCCAAAAACGUACAUGUAAAAAUAAUUCUAUGUUCAAGUUUAGGGAUUCACAAAUUAAGAACACCUUAGUUAAUGAAGUAAAACGCUCAUUGCUGUUUUUAUACCUUAAAACUAGUUAAUGAACAAAUACUUUCCUAGCCUCUGCUUUCACGCCUUAAAUGAGGGGAGCCCACCAUCAGCCAGGCCAAUCCAUUUUAUCUUGGAACAGCUCUAUUAUCAAAAAGAUAUUCUUUGAUCCAAAUUAUGUCUCUCUGUAACUUCUAUCCUUCUAUCUUAUUUAUGCUUAUUGGACAUGUUAAAAUCUAGUCAAAGAAUUUUUUUUUCUACUUGGAGCUUUUUAACACAAUUGAUAUUAAUCUUACAUCAGUAAUUCAGUCUUUCUUGGCUAGCACUAUAAAACCAAUACCUCUGUUUCCCUGAAAAUACCUGUAAAAAAAUUAGAAAAUAAUGUAUCCGCCACCCAGCCUUUCAAGGACAGUCCUGGAUUACUGGAUGCUUAGACUUGUGUUCUGUUUGAGAUGUAGAGAUGCCAACUGGAGUAAUCAGAGAGCAUAGACCCAUUUAUAUUGGGAAGAGUUAAUGACUGGGAGUGAGUGGCAGGUCAAGACUAGAUCUAGUUAGGCUGGGGGCCAGAGAAGAGUGUGCAUCAGCUACAUUUUGGGAGUUUUGAGAGAGAGAGAAACUUAUCCAGACUGGUCAGAACUUUUAUCUUCAAGUUUCCUGUGACACCAGGAAGCUCUUUAGCUUUUGCUAUUUUAUGAUAGCUUAAUACAUGGCUCUAUUCCCUCUCUACCCUACACUAACAGGGUUAAAGAGAUCAAGCCUGUUUUUUCACAGCUACUCCACACAAAUCCUGGAGUACAGUCCUUAUGCAACAGGGUGGCCAAGGAUCUUGAUAAAUCUUUCACACGCAACAAAAGCCAUUUGUUCCUCUUACACACAGCCAAAGAGGAGCUAACAGCAAACAUCCACCAAUAAACGCGGAUGUGUUGAUUUGGCAGAUGUAGAAAAUCACCAACUUUCAAAAAAACAUUCUUUAAGUUACCGUCUUGCUCCCUUAAAACCCAAUGCCUCCACAGCUCACCUCCAGAGUGGAAUCAAGUCCCCUUUAAGCUUUCUAUCUCACAUUUCCCUCUUAGCUUUGAUAUCACAAAGGUGGAUGAACUUCCAGUCUCUAACCUGGCUCCACCCCAGCACCUGGCUCUCUUGCCUUUAAGAGAGGACCAGCCAAGAAUGAACUCAGCUGGAGAGAAUGUGCAGGGAGAGCAGGAGCCAGGAAGCCAGGGGUAGAACAAACCCUCCCUCUGGAGGUGAUGGGGUCCACAGCUGUCCCAGGCCCCAGAACCCUGCAGUGCCAGUCAGGAGCCUGGCUCUGCCCCGUCUGCCCCUCUACACUCCUGGCAGGGGGUCUUUUUGUUGUUGUUCCCCCUCCUUCUCUCCUGAUUCCAGGCCCAGUGUUUGCUUGUCUUGCAGCCAAAGAUAAACUCCACGAAUUCAGAAGGCUACUCUUUAGCUAUCUGAAUAGAGCGCUGACUAACGGAAGGGGACAAUUUGUCUUAGGAAUUGCGUCCUUGUUUGCUUUUUCCUUCUUAGCUCGUUUUGACUAAGCAACAUAGUACAUGGAUUCAUAGAGUCUCAGGGCUGAAAGUAUCAUAAAAUGCAUCAAGGCUAAUCCCAUUCAAUCCUUGAACCCCAUAUUCACACCAUUCCAGAUCUAUCUUCCCUCCAUUGACACCAAAUUUAAGAAGCCCCCAUGUCUGCAGGCAGUGCUAUUAGAAUUCUCUUCUUCCACUGCAUUCCCUGAAGGCAAUACAUUUGAAAAGAGAAAAGUCAAACUCGUGGGUGUGUGUACUGUAGACAGGGACUCUGACUCCAUUUCUGGUGUUUGCAUUCAAAUCAAGAAAUCAUACUGCUUGGGAAGUCUUUCUUCGGCCUCUGGUAUAUUAAAAAGUUAGAAAGACAUUGGACUGAAAACAAAAUGCUAGAGGACACUGUUGUGUUUCAGAGUUGUGUGCAUUUGGGAAGAGUCCGGCAGAGACAGUGGGAGACAAGAGGGUCAGUCACUCCUUCUGGAGAGGUCAGUCGAUCUAGCAAACACCAUAGUCCACUCCAGCUCAGGAAGGAGCCUUGUGUGUUCAGUAGUUUAUUAAAUGCAAAACAUGUACAGUCUUUACUGAAUAGUAAUUAGAAGCAAACAACCCCUGAAGCUGACUAGAAAAAGAGACAGCAGGGACAGUGAACAUGGGACACAGGCUAAGAACAAAACAUGGUGCAAAGCCAAGGUGGCUGUUGGCUGCCCAAACCUGGGGCUCCACACAAAGGAGACCUCCUGACAAGUCGAGCAGAGGGGGCUCAAUGGGGCACACCGGGGGCGCACUUGGAAGUCAAACCACACUUGCAAGAUAAGGAAAAGCAUGAUUUGUUAUCGUCUAUGAAUAAUUGGAUCUCUGCUAUGCUGAAAAUGAAUGCAGCACAGGGACAGUCUCUGCUGCCCAGGCGUUCAGCAUGCCAAUUAGAAAUCCAGGGGAAGGGGCAGCAGUGGGAGGUGCCACAUAGCUUUAUGAAUGUUCCCCUGUCUCUGGGCAGACACUUGUGGGCCCUGGUGAGGACAUAAUGGAUGGUGGCUGAGCUUCAUGCCCUCCUCAGCACAGGAGGUGAUGCCCAUGGAGCCGAGGGCCAGAAGCACAGGAGGUUGGAAAACGGACAUUUUCCUUCUGUUCUUAAACCAGUCAGUGAACAGCUGGGUACCGAGAAAAUGAGCAGGUGAUUUCAGAUUUACGAAGUUGCAUCCUGCCCCCCUAGGCAGAGCCUUUGAGAGCAGAAGGUGGGAGGCUGACAGAGAUAGGUAGAUGUGGGCAUCUGAACCCAAAACACUAGCUCUGAUUACAUAUGGACCCUUGAACCAGCUGCUAGAAAGGGCUGCCAUAGUGCCAGGAAACUGUCCCUCUCUCAGCGUGGAGAAGCCAGUUCCAAACAGAGGCUGCUGCUUUACCUUGGGUCUCUGGAAUGAAAAUGAUGUGGAGCACAGCUGGAGCUGAUCUACAAUGGACAUGUGGCAUGAAUGAGAAGGGUGAUACAGUUGCCAUUAAAGGAGAAAAGAGUCGGUGAUCACACGGGGACUUUCAUACAAUACCUGGAAGUGAUAUACAUCAUUUCAGCCCACAUUCUGUUGUCCAGAAAACAAUUGGAUGCACCAACCAAACUGAAAAGGCAACUGGGAAAUGGAAUCUUCACUGUGCUCAAGAAAAAAUAAAUAAGAUUGCUAAGCUUAUGGCAGGUCCCUGCCUCAGUUUUACCUUCUAGUCAGCAAAUAUCCAUUUCAAUCUUCCUCUGACAUAUAAAACUCACUCACCUCUCCCAAGAGGGACAAUUCAAAGUUCUGUGCACUCAUGGAGUCUAAAGCUGAGCUACAGAUGUCUGGGAAAGGUACAGACUCCUCCAUCAGGUCUAAAUGAGACUCCACUUGAUCUGACAACCUAUGAGCUAAAAAGAAAAGCUGCCUGCCCCACUGCCACCACCACAUACACCGCAGCAAUGGGGAAACACAUCAAGGACAGCUUCAGCAAACCCUCCCAUUUGGAAGAGCAAGAAGGGAAGUCCCAAGUCAGUCACUGAACUGUAAGAAUUUUGAAGUCCCAUUGAGCAAAUACUCUGAAGGACCCCCAACCCUGGGGUGAGGAAAGACCCUCAAUUAAACUGGGUUCUGUUCUCUGGAGGGAACUCCUCUGCCCAUUGUUUUCCAGGGCCCCUGGCUCUGCCCACAGAGGCUCCUCUUGGUUUAUUAUCCUCCUUGGCCACAUCUGAGGAUGGCCUCAUGGAAAUAAGACAUUUGAAGCUGUCUCCUUCCAGCUUCAGAUAUCAAUUUCCUUGCCACCCACCUACAUCCUCCUUA